rnacentral:lncRNA from 1 species
UUCAGGGUGUGUUCUGAGAGGAACACCCACAACUCGAGCUUGCGCCAUGUCUUCACUUCUUUCGCUGAUCGUGGACAAGGUCGUGGAAGUCCGAGAGUGGGUGCAGGCUAAAUUUCUCACACAGAAGGAAGAAGCCAGAGAGGGUUCACUUGUUUCGCUGAUCAUGGACAAGGUCAUGAAAGUCCCAGAGCAGGUGGGGGCUGAAUUUCUCGCACAGAAGGUAACAAAAUUUAUAAAAGUUAUUUUAACAACAUGUGGAAUGGAGCAAGCCCUGAAACCCUUUUACUGGUUGAUGCCAUACCCAAUCAGAAGGAUACUGAUAUUUGUACUACACAAGAUAGCUUCGGUGGCAUGCAACUGGAUGGUCACGAAAUUUUUUAAAAAAAAGAGCAUAUAUAUAUUUGAAAAGAUGGGUGAUCAACCAACAGAAGUGAUUGUGGCUUGA